rnacentral:rRNA from 1 species
UGGGGAAUUUUGGACAAUGGGCGAAAGCCUGAUCCAGCAAUGCCGCGUGUGUGAAGAGGGCCUUCGGGUUGUAAAGCACUUUUGUCCGGAAAGAAAUCCUCUGGGUUAAUACCUCGGGGGGAUGACGGUACCGGAAGAAUAAGCACCGGCUAACUACGUGCCAGCAGCCGCGGUAAUACGUAGGGUGCAAGCGUUAAUCGGAAUUACUGGGCGUAAAGCGUGCGCAGGCGGUUUUGUAAGACGGAUGUGAAAUCCCCGGGCUUAACCUGGGAACUGCAUUCGUGACUGCAAGGCUAGAGUAUGGCAGAGGGGGGUAGAAUUCCACGUGUAGCAGUGAAAUGCGUAGAGAUGUGGAGGAAUACCGAUGGCGAAGGCAGCCCCCUGGGCCAAUACUGACGCUCAUGCACGAAAGCGUGGGGAGCAAACAGGAUUAGAUACCCUGGUAGUCCACGCCCUAAACGAUGUCAACUAGUUGUUGGGGAUUCAUUUCCUUAGUAACGUAGCUAACGCGUGAAGUUGACCGCCU